rnacentral:rRNA from 1 species
ACGCUCGACACCUACGGGAGGUAGCAGUGGGGAAUAUUGCACAAUGGGGGAAACCCUGAUGCAGCGACGCCGCGUGAGCGAAGAAGUAUUUCGGUAUGUAAAGCUCUAUCAGCAGGGAAGAAACUGACGGUACCUGACUAAGAAGCACCGGCUAAAUACGUGCCAACAGCCGCGGUAAUCUGAGCGGGCUGGCAAGGC